AACCCAAACCAAUCAACGGCAGCCCUCACGGCGAGAACCCUAAUUACUAACCGGCCGCAACCCUCUCCUCGCCUAACCGGCGGCUACAAACCCUAAUCACCUAACCGGCGACUACAAACCCUAAUCGGAGCUUGAACUGAUCGACAAAUAGAGGUGAUGUUGCAGUUGUUCUAGCUUUAGGCGGUUCUUCACUCACCACCGAGUGUGAAGGUUAGGUUCCUUUGAACUUCAUCUCAACUUAGAUUUUGGGAAUUUUGGUGUUUACAACCUUUAAAUUGUUCACAUCCUUCGUUAUUGUGUUCUAGGGCUUACAAGCAUGUAACUCUGGAAUUUUGGUGUUUACAACCUUUAACUGAUUAGGGUUCCGACAACUCCGUGUUGAUCUAUCCCCAGAUUAGAUUGUAGCAAUUUUGAAGUAGAAGCUAAGUUCUUAUCUCUUUUGGAGGAUCGUCUGCAAGCGGCUAUAAGUGGCAACGUAGCAGUCAAAUGGUGAUCAAAUGACAAGAGGAGUCGAGCGGUCAAGCGGCGGGCAGCUGACAGUGCGUUGGGUGGUUGGGUGAGUCGGGCGGUUUCUACCGAUUGGGAUCCAAGGUUUGAAGCGGUCAGUUCAGGAUGCAAGAUGUAUGAAGUCGCCAGUUUGAUAUAAGUUAGAACUUUUUAUUUGUUAUUUUUUUUGGGAUGCUGAGUUUUGAAGAGGUCAGUUCGGGUUCAUGUCACAGUUUACGUUUUGUAUUUGGUUCGGUAAACAUGUACCUUUUAGAAACAUGUUUAAUAUAAGUUUGAAUUUUUUUGUUUGUUA